UCUCCGUAGGUGAACCAGCGGAAGGAUCAUUAUCGAGUCUUGACUGGGCUCUAGCUCCUCUUCCGAGGCAUGCGCACGCCCUGCCCAUCCACCCUACACCUGCGUACCUAUUGUCGGUAACAGAUCGUGAGCCGUGGUCUUUUACCGCAGCUUGUGAAGCGUGUCUGUCCCUGCGUUUAUCACAAACAUUAUAAAAUACUAGAAUGUGUAUUACGAUGUAACGCAUCAAUAUACAACUUUCAGCAACGGAUCUAUUGCCUCUCGCAUCGAUGAAGACAC
rnacentral:misc_RNA from 1 species